rnacentral:rRNA from 1 species
AGAGUUUGAUCCUGGCUCAGGAUGAACGCUAGCUACAGGCUUAACACAUGCAAGUCGAGGGGAAACGACAUCGAAAGCUUGCUUUUGAUGGGCGUCGACCGGCGCACGGGUGAGUAACGCGUAUCCAACCUGCCCACCACUUGGGGAUAACCUUGCGAAAGUAAGACUAAUACCCAAUGAUAUCUCUAGAAGACAUCUGAAAGAGAUUAAAGAUUUAUCGGUGAUGGAUGGGGAUGCGUCUGAUUAGCUUGUUGGCGGGGUAACGGCCCACCAAGGCAACGAUCAGUAGGGGUUCUGAGAGGAAGGUCCCCCACAUUGGAACUGAGACACGGUCCAAACUCCUACGGGAGGCAGCAGUGAGGAAUAUUGGUCAAUGGGCGAGAGCCUGAACCAGCCAAGUAGCGUGCAGGAAGACGGCCCUAUGGGUUGUAAACUGCUUUUAUAAGGGAAUAAAGUGAGUCUCGUGAGACUUUUUGCAUGUACCUUAUGAAUAAGGACCGGCUAAUUCCGUGCCAGCAGCCGCGGUAAUACGGAAGGUCCGGGCGUUAUCCGGAUUUAUUGGGUUUAAAGGGAGCGUAAGCCGGAGAUUAAGCGUGUUGUGAAAUGUAGACGCUCAACGUCUGCACUGCAGCGCGAACUGGUUUCCUUGAGUACGCACAAAGUGGGCGGAAUUCGUGGUGUAGCGGUGAAAUGCUUAGAUAUCACGAAGAACUCCGAUUGCGAAGGCAGCUCACUGGAGCGCAACUGACGCUGAAGCUCGAAAGUGCGGGUAUCGAACAGGAUUAGAUACCCUGGUAGUCCGCACGGUAAACGAUGGAUGCCCGCUGUUGGUCUGAACAGGUCAGCGGCCAAGCGAAAGCAUUAAGCAUCCCACCUGGGGAGUACGCCGGCAACGGUGAAACUCAAAGGAAUUGACGGGGGCCCGCACAAGCGGAGGAACAUGUGGUUUAAUUCGAUGAUACGCGAGGAACCUUACCCGGGCUUGAAUUGCAGAGGAAGGAUUUGGAGACAAUGACGCCCUUCGGGGUCUCUGUGAAGGUGCUGCAUGGUUGUCGUCAGCUCGUGCCGUGAGGUGUCGGCUUAAGUGCCAUAACGAGCGCAACCCCUCUCCUUAGUUGCCAUCAGGUUAAGCUGGGCACUCUGGGGACACUGCCACCGUAAGGUGUGAGGAAGGUGGGGAUGACGUCAAAUCAGCACGGCCCUUACG